rnacentral:rRNA from 1 species
AGUUUGAUCCUGGCUCAGGACGAACGCUGGCGGCGUGCCUAAUACAUGCAAGUCGAGCGGACAGAAGGGAGCUUGCUCCCGGAUGUUAGCGGCGGACGGGUGAGUAACACGUGGGUAACCUGCCUGUAAGACUGGGAUAACUCCGGGAAACCGGAGCUAAUACCGGAUAGUUCCUUGAACCGCAUGGUUCAAGGAUGAAAGACGGUUUCGGCUGUCACUUACAGAUGGACCCGCGGCGCAUUAGCUAGUUGGUGGGGUAAUGGCUCACCAAGGCGACGAUGCGUAGCCGACCUGAGAGGGUGAUCGGCCACACUGGGACUGAGACACGGCCCAGACUCCUACGGGAGGCAGCAGUAGGGAAUCUUCCGCAAUGGACGAAAGUCUGACGGAGCAACGCCGCGUGAGUGAUGAAGGUUUUCGGAUCGUAAAGCUCUGUUGUUAGGGAAGAACAAGUGCGAGAGUAACUGCUCGCACCUUGACGGUACCUAACCAGAAAGCCACGGCUAACUACGUGCCAGCAGCCGCGGUAAUACGUAGGUGGCAAGCGUUGUCCGGAAUUAUUGGGCGUAAAGGGCUCGCAGGCGGUUUCUUAAGUCUGAUGUGAAAGCCCCCGGCUCAACCGGGGAGGGUCAUUGGAAACUGGGAAACUUGAGUGCAGAAGAGGAGAGUGGAAUUCCACGUGUAGCGGUGAAAUGCGUAGAGAUGUGGAGGAACACCAGUGGCGAAGGCGACUCUCUGGUCUGUAACUGACGCUGAGGAGCGAAAGCGUGGGGAGCGAACAGGAUUAGAUACCCUGGUAGUCCACGCCGUAAACGAUGAGUGCUAAGUGUUAGGGGGUUUCCGCCCCUUAGUGCUGCAGCUAACGCAUUAAGCACUCCGCCUGGGGAGUACGGUCGCAAGACUGAAACUCAAAGGAAUUGACGGGGGCCCGCACAAGCGGUGGAGCAUGUGGUUUAAUUCGAAGCAACGCGAAGAACCUUACCAGGUCUUGACAUCCUCUGACAACCCUAGAGAUAGGGCUUUCCCUUCGGGGACAGAGUGACAGGUGGUGCAUGGUUGUCGUCAGCUCGUGUCGUGAGAUGUUGGGUUAAGUCCCGCAACGAGCGCAACCCUUGAUCUUAGUUGCCAGCAUUCAGUUGGGCACUCUAAGGUGACUGCCGGUGACAAACCGGAGGAAGGUGGGGAUGACGUCAAAUCAUCAUGCCCCUUAUGACCUGGGCUACACACGUGCUACAAUGGACAGAACAAAGGGCUGCAAGACCGCAAGGUUUAGCCAAUCCCAUAAAUCUGUUCUCAGUUCGGAUCGCAGUCUGCAACUCGACUGCGUGAAGCUGGAAUCG